UACGAAGGGUGCAAGCGUUACUCGGAAUUCCUGGGCGUAAAGCGCGCGUAGGUGGUCGUUUAAGUCCGUUGUGAAAGCCCUGGGCUCAACCUGGGAACUGCAGUGGAUACUGGGCGACUAGAGUGUGGUAGAGGGUAGCGGAGUUCCUGGUGUAGCAGUGAAAUGCGUAGAGAUCAGGAGGAACAUCCAUGGCGAAGGCAGCUACCUGGACCAACACUGACACUGAGGCACGAAAGCGUGGGGAGCAAAUAGG
rnacentral:rRNA from 1 species